rnacentral:rRNA from 1 species
UAAACUGGGAUUAGAUACCCCACUAUGCUAAGCCGCAAAUAUACUUACAUACAUAUUCGCCAGAGUACUACACGCGAUAGCUUAAAACUCAAAGGACUUGGCGGUACUCCAAACCCCUCCAGAGGAGCCUGUUCUAUAAUCGACAGUACCCGCUAAACCUCACCAUUUUUAGCCAACCAGCCUAUAUACCACCGUCUCCAGCUAACCUUUUGAAAGAAAAAUAGUCAGCACAAAGAAUCAACUCAAAACGUCAGGUCAAGGUGUAGCAAAUAAAAUGGGAAGAAAUGGGCUACAUUUUCUUACUAAAGAAUAUACGAAUAGUGUAAUGAAAAAAACACCUGAAGGCGGAUUUGACAGUAAUUAGAAACAAUCAUAUUCUAAUUAAAAUGGCAAUGGAGUACGCACACACCGCCCGUCACCCU